AAGGCCUUAGCUUAAAUAAAGUGUCUGUUUUGCAUUCAGAGUAUGUGGGUUAAAGUCUUGCAGGUCUUA
rnacentral:tRNA from 1 species